rnacentral:lncRNA from 1 species
CUUAUAGCUCCCACUAGCUUGCUAAGAGCCAUGAUGGAUGGAUCUCUACAACUUACAUGUCUUGUGAUUCAUAUUUUUAGACAUAUAUUAUCAAGACUAUCUUAAUAAUGGUUUCGGAAACCUAUAUUAUGUCCAAACAUUGAAUCACCAUUUAAUUGUAGCUAGCAAUCUUCGAAUUAAUUGAAACUAAGACUACGUCAAAAAUGGUUACUUCAAAGUCAACCAUUCUCUUUGAUUGUAGUCACCUUAAGCUACCAAUUAGCUUGUGAAGGUUUCAUUAUUUCGGGUCAAAUGGUACUUUACCAUUCCCAUGAGUAUAUAUCGUAUAUGCACUCAAUG